UCUGUGUAAGCCCUACUUCCUCAUCAGUUCCUCCAUUUCCUCCCAUGGUCAGCGUCUCAGGCUCUUACUGAUAGGAAGAGAGAGAGAGAGAGAGACUCAGAGUUAAUGUUCAUGUCUUUGUAACUCUUUCUGUUACUCUUUCAUGAUCCUUUAGAGAGAGAAAGAGAGAGAGAGUAUGAGAUUCAAAGAACCAUGAAAGAAUUUUCCUUUUCCUUCUUUCCUUGACGUAUAAGCCAUUACAUUCUAGAAUUUCGAGGGGAUUCUGAGCUAAAUCCUGAACAUGGUGAAUAAGGUGGAUGUUUCACUUACAACUUCCCCUGUUCAUCGACGCACUCUCAGGUUGAACAUUGCGAGUUGAUUUCGCCGGCACAGAUCUCACAAGCUCCUCUGAAGAUAUCCUUUCUUCUACAAGAAUGCUAGACUACGAAUGGGCGAAUUCGUCGCCAAUGUUAAUCUCCGGCGGCGAUUCCACUCAUGGUUCCGACCAAACUCGUCAAAUUUUCAACCAUUACAACCAAUCCAUCGCCGAAAACUUGCUUUCUCCACCAUCUUCGUUCUCUUUCCACCAGCAGAACCAGAACCAGAACCAGAACCAGAACCAAAACCAGAACCAGAACCAUCUCCAUACCCUUUACGACUCUCAACCUUUUUCCCUCUCUUACUCACACACUCUGUCACCGGAAACCGUCAACGGUAGUAACAGUAGCAACGGCUAUAUGUUUUUACCAAAGAACGAGACAGGGCAUUUAGAUUUCCCGGCGAAAAUCGGAUUGAAUUUGGGCGGUCGAACCUACUUCUCGUCGUCCGAGGACGAUAUCGUGAACCGGUUCUACCGCCGGCCCAGACCAAUCGAAUCUGGGCCCUCUAAUUCGCCUUCGCCUAAAUGCCAGGCUGAGGGCUGCAACGCCGACUUGACACAUGCCAAGCAUUAUCACCGGCGGCAUAAAGUCUGCGAGUUUCACUCCAAAGCCUCCACUGUGAUAGCCGGCGGGUUGACUCAGCGAUUCUGUCAGCAGUGCAGCAGGUUUCAUCUUCUGUCGGAGUUCGAUCAAGGGAAGCGAAGUUGCAGGAAAAGGUUGGCAGAUCACAAUCGUCGAAGGAGGAAAUCACAGAACCAACCACUACAAACUCAAACCCAGCUUCACGAGACUACUCUGAGUUCUUCUCCCUCUGAAACUCUUGCAAGGUUAUCUCCAGGGUCGGUAGUGCAUUCUCCAUCGGUGGUGACAAAUGCAGUAUCGCCGCCUAGAAUGUCGCUGAGUUCUUAUGGCCGGCAUAGUCACCAUGGUUCGGAUUCAUCGCAGCUGGGAAACUUUAAGCCAUAUGGGCGUAGUCAGAGCUCGUGCUGGGAUGAAGAGGAAGAAGAUCAGCGUGGACGGAAGAGAGGACCAGACUUUAUGAAGUGAAGUGAGUGAGUGAGAGAGGCAUCUCAUAUCUGCCUUUCUCUCGUCCUCUUGUGGAUGGACCUUGCACCUGUUUUUGUUCUUUUAUACACCUUCUAGGCACGUGGGACUGCUUCUUGUGGGGGUCCUGUCUGAUAGGGAGUUGGCUGUUGCUCGAGCAUGGACACGUGAUCAAAGUGAGAAGGUGAUUGUCUUUGGUUGUUUGGUGGGGGAGACGAAUCAGGGUGGCACAUUAAUUCCUUAGGUAGUAGUUUCCCCUCAUGUGAGAGAGAGAGAGAGUGUGGAUCAGGUUUUUCUUGUCGAUUUCAUGUGCGUGGAUUAAGAUCGUAUGAGAAUGG